AUUGAACGCUGGCGGCAGGCCUAACACAUGCAAGUCGAGCGGAUGAAGGGAGCUUGCUCUUGGAUUCAGCGGCGGACGGGUGAGUAAUGCCUAGGAAUCUGCCUGGUAGUGGGGGAUAACGUCCGGAAACGGGCGCUAAUACCGCAUACGUCCUGAGGGAGAAAGUGGGGGAUCUUCGGACCUCACGCUAUCAGAUGAGCCUAGGUCGGAUUAGCUAGUUGGUGGGGUAAAGGCCUACCAAGGCGACGAUCCGUAACUGGUCUGAGAGGAUGAUCAGUCACACUGGAACUGAGACACGGUCCGGACUCCUACGGGAGGCAGCAGUGGGGAAUAUUGGACAAUGGGCGAAAGCCUGAUCCAGCCAUGCCGCGUGUGUGAAGAAGGUCUUCGGAUUGUAAAGCACUUUAAGUUGGGAGGAAGGGCAGUAAGUUAAUACCUUGCUGUUUUGACGUUACCAACAGAAUAAGCACCGGCUAACUUCGUG
rnacentral:rRNA from 1 species